AGAGUUUGAUCCUGGCUCAGGAUAAACGCUGGCGGCGUGCCUAACACAUGCAAGUCGAACGUCUUUUCGUGUUUUUCGGAGCACGAGAAGGAGUGGCGGACGGGUGAGUAGCACAUGGGUGACCUACCCCCGAGUGAGGGAUACCGGCGAGAAAUCGCCGACAAACCCGCAUAGGCUCUCUUUCGUGGUGGGAGGAGAGC
rnacentral:rRNA from 1 species